rnacentral:rRNA from 1 species
GACGUAGGAUGCAAGCGUUGUCCGGAUUUAUUGGGCGUAAAGAGUUCGUAGGUGGUUCGUUAAGUCUGAUGUUAAAGACUGGGGCUCAACCCUGGAAGUGCAUUGGAUACUGGCGGACUUGAGUGUGGUAGAGGCAAUCGGAAUUCCAGGUGUAGCGGUGAAAUGCGUAGAUAUCGAGAGGAACACCUGCGGCGAAGGCGGGUUGCUGGGCUGAUACUGACGCUGAGGCGCGAAAGCCAGGGGAGCGAACGGG